rnacentral:rRNA from 1 species
AAAAAAUUUAUUAAAUUAUAUUAAAUUAACUUUUAUUAAAACUGACAAGGCUAUAAUCUAUUUUUUAAAAGAAAUAUAAAAUUCCUUUAGUAUCAGGAUUUAUUAAAUUUUUUAAUAAAAUAUAUAUAUAUAUAUUUCCCGAAAAUGUAUGAUCUAUUAUUCUUUUUAAUUUUUGUUAAAAUAAAAUAUCUAAAUUAAUAAUAGUAGCUAAACACCUUACGAAUACAAUGAUAUCUGGUUUUUUAUUUUAAAAUAAAAUUCAACAACAUAUAAUAUAAUAAUAUAUUAUAUUCUUAUUUCUAUUAAACUUAAUUAUUGAAAACUAAAAGUAUUUACACAGUUUAAAAACUAUAAUUCACUAAACUUAUAUGUAUUUAAUAAAUAAAAUUUCAUAAGCAUUCAACAAUGAUUUAAUAAUUAGAUUUUUAUUUAAGCAAAAAGAAUUCAACAAAAGCUUAAUGACUGUUUACCAAAAACAUUUCUAUUAGAAUAUUCACUAAUAGUAAAAUCUGCUCAAUGAAUAUUAAAUAGCCGCAAUUUAGUGCUAAGGUAGCAUAAUCAUUUGUCUUUUAAAUGAAGACUAGAACAAAAGAUUUAACAUUUUAGCUUAUUUCUUUUUUAAUAUAUUAAAUUUAUCUUAAAAGUAAAAAGACUUUUAUUUAUUAGAAAGACGACAAGACCCUAUUGAACUUUACUUAAGUUUUACUGGGGCAGUAAAUUAAUUAUAAUUUUAAUUUAAUUAAAUAUUUAUCGAUCCAAAUAAUUGAUAACUCAGUUACCAUAGGGAUAACAGCAUAAUUAUUUUUAAAAGAACUUAUUAAAAAAAUAGAUUGUGACCUCGAUGUUGAAUUAAUAACCUAAUUGAAGCAAAAGUUAAAUAAGGAAGUCUGUUCGACUUUUAAAAAAUUGCAUGAUUUGAGUUCAGACCGGUAUAAGCCAGGUCGGUUUCUAUCUUCUAUAAUGUUUUUUGUAGUACGAAAGGACCUAAAAAUAUUUUAU